GUAAGCGCCGUGACCGAUGCCUGUAUUCGGCUAGCGAAGCCGUCGGAUUGAGGUCGAGUUCGUUCGCGAAUCUCGUAACCAGUCCGUCGGUCGAAUAGAUAUCGUUAGACCGUAGCAUCGAGAGAUUGAAUUCGAACGUCGGCGAAUCUGUUAGCGCUCGCCUAUUACGACGGACGUACGUUCGGUCGGUGGCCACCUGCCCGCAGGUUUCCGUCGCAUCCGGCGCGUAUCCGAAGUCGUUGGCGACGUUUUACGACGUUCGGGUGUCCACGGCGUCCGAGUCGGUCGCCCGUCCGACCCGUCUUGAAACACGGACCAAGGAGUCUAACGUAAGCGCGAGCUAAUGGGCGGAAAACCCAUAAGCGCAAUAAAAGUAAAAGUCGUCUCGGGCGGCUUAGGUACGAUCCCGCAGGGCGAAUUAAUCCUCGGGCGCAGUACCGUCCCAUCCCGACCGCUCGUCGGUAGGGCGGAGAUAGAGUGCAUACGUUGGGACCCGAAAGAUGGUGAACUAUGCCUGAGCAGAGCGAAGCCAGAGGAAACUCUGGUGGAGGUUCGUAGCAGGUUCCUGACGUGCAAAUCGAUAGUCAGA
rnacentral:rRNA from 1 species